rnacentral:rRNA from 1 species
YYCGCCUGAAAAUUACAAGCAUAAGCUAAAAACUCAAAGGACUUGGCGGCGCUUUAAACCCAUCUAGAGGAGCUUGUCCUGUAACCGAUAGUCCCCGUUAAACCUCACCCCUCCUUGCCCUCAGCCUAUAUACCGCCGUCGUCAGCUUACCCUGUUAAGGUCUUUUAGUAAGCAAAAUUGGCUUAACCUAAAACGUCAGGUCAAGGUGUAGCUUAUGGGGGGGAAAGAGAUGAGCUACAUUUCCUACCUUAGGGCCUUUACGAAUUAUAUGUUGAAAUACAAAUAUUGAAGAAGGAUUUAGCAGUAAGUAAAAAAUAGAGUGUUUU